CCCCUAGAUGUUCUGGGCCGCACGCGCGCUACACUGAACAGUUCAACAAGUCUUAACCUUGGCCGAUAGGUCUGGGUAAUCUUUGAACGCUGGUCGUGAUGGGGAUAGACUUUUGCAAUUUUUGGUCUUCAACGAGGAAUUCCUAGUAAACGCAAGUCAUCAACUUGCAUUGAUUACGUCCCUGCCCUUUGUACACACCGCCCGUCGCACCUACCGAUUGAAUGGUCCGGUGAAGCCUCCGGAUUGGCGCGCACCUCGGUGCCGCCGAGAAGUUGGCUAAACCUUNCNAUUUACNGGAAGGUGAANUCGUANCA
rnacentral:rRNA from 1 species